GAUGAACGCUGGCGGCGUGCCUAAUACAUGCAAGUCGAGCGAACAGACCAGGAGCUUGCUCCUCUGACGUUAGCGGCGGACGGGUGAGUAACACGUGGAUAACCUACCUAUAAGACUGGGAUAACUUCGCGAAACCGGAGCUAAUACCGGAUAAUAUAUUGAACCGCAUGGGUCAAUAGUGAAAUACGGUUUUGCUGUCACUUAUAGAUGGAUCCGCGCCGCAUUAGCUAGUUGGUAAGGUAACGGCUUACCAAGGCGACGAUGCGUAGCCGACCUGAGAGGGUGAUCGGCCACACUGGAACUGAGACACGGUACAGACUCCUACGGGAGGCAGCAGUAGGGAAUCUUCCGCAAUGGGCGAAAGCCUGACGGAGCAACGCCGCGUGAGUGAUGAAGGUCUUCGGAUCGUAAAACUCUGUUAUUAGGGAAGAACAAAUGUGUAAGUAACUAUGCACGUCUUGACGGUACCUAAUCAGAAAGCCACGGCUAACUACGUG
rnacentral:rRNA from 1 species